UUUGUUCAGUUGAAGUGUCCUUA
rnacentral:piRNA from 1 species